UACGUAGGGUGCAAGCGUUAAUCGGAAUUACUGGGCGUAAAGCGUGCGCAGGCGGUUCGUUAAGACAGAUGUGAAAUCCCCGGGCUUAACCUGGGAACUGCAUUUGUGACUGGCGGACUGGAGUAUGGCAGAGGGGGGUAGAAUUCCACGUGUAGCAAUGAAAUGCGUAGAGAUGUGGAGGAAUACCGAUGGCGAAGGCAGCCCCCUGGGCCAAUACUGACGCUCAUGCACGAAAGCGUGGGGAGCAAACAGG
rnacentral:rRNA from 1 species